UUUUUCUUUCUAUGGUAAGUGAUACUAAUACAUACAACCAAAAUACUCUUAUAUAAACUUACACAAAGACCACUCUCAAGUCAAGAACAAAAAGACAAGUGCAAACAACUUUUAUAACACACACUCUCUUGCAACUUCAAAGAAUAAAUCAUCAUCUUCUCAUUCUUAGCAGCCUGUUGAUGUGAGGAACACACGUUCACACGGUUUACUUUUGUCUAUAAACCAGCAUGUAACCAUCAACUUUUGGAUGCAUCAACAGAAUUCAUACUUUCCUCUUUCCAAAAAUAGACACUAAAUUUCAAGAAGAUUUUAAGCUCAGCAUAUUCUCAAACUUUGAUAUUAUACCAAAAAUCAUGUGUGACAUCUUUCAAGUGCAGUUAACACCUACUUUAAACUCCCCCGCCAGGAAGAGAUGGCAUUGGGCAGCAGAGGCGGAGCCAGGAUUUCAAGUAAGGGGUUCAAUAUUCAAAGAAAACUAAGUCGAAGGGGGUUCAAGACCUACUAUAAUCACAUAAAAAAUAAUUUUAAUCAUGUAUAAAUAGUAUAUUUUUUCGUCGAAGGGGAUUCGAACGAACCUCUAAAGAGGGCUGGUUCGGCCUCUAUUGGGCAGUGGCUUUUGGGAAGGGUAGAGUACCGUGUAGGUAAAUAUUAUUCCUAACUUGUGAAUAGUGGUCGAGCCAAAAUUUUUAGGAAUAAGUUCAAAAUAAGAAAUUAAGAAUAAGUAAAUACAAAGAAGAAGCUGAAGGGAUUUCAACAUUUAUUAUAUAUACUUAAAAAAAUAAAUUUUAAUCACAUAUAAAUAGUACUAUAAUUUUUCGUUUAUCUAAAUUCCUUGGGCUCAACAUAGCUCCGCCCCUGCUUGUGGAAGGAGGUAGAAAGGUUGUCUUCUAAAAAGUCGUAGACUUGAGUAACAUAUAUUGAAGCAGUUUAAAAUGCCAAGCUUUUGUAAGUCAAAAAUAUUUAUCUAUUUAAAAAAAUAUUUAUUUGAGAAACUUAAGGUAUUUGAUCAAGUGUUUUGGGAAAAAUAUACACGUUUUCCAAUAGUAGCACUUUUUUUAAAGUUAAAACGAAAAAAACAAUCCACGUUUUUUCGAAUCAUCUUUGGAACAUCAGUCGAGCACAAAUUCCUAAUCUAAUAUUAACAAAAGUAUCCAAAUUAAUUAGUCAAAUACAAUCAACUACUUGUCAAAGGUAUUUUUGUUUGUUUUUUUUUUAAAAAAACACUUUCAAGAUAAGGCUCUCUAGUCUACCCCACACAAGUUGGUAUAAGGUCUACUACUCUCAUGGAUUACCCUCUUCAAACCCUAUAGGACUGCAUUAAGUAUUAAUUUUGUAAGCUUGUUCAACCACACUAAUAGUCAAUCUCAACUAGUGGUUUAGGCUUCAGGUUUGGUAACUGUUUUUGCAAUUAGGAUUAAUUUCUAGAUUAUUAUUUCACUUGAAAUAGGUUAGGUUUGCUAACAACAUUGUCAGCUUGAUUGCUACUCAGUACCUGUUUGUGAUCUUGUUUUUUUGAGUUCCUUAAUUUACAUGACCUACUUCUUGAGCCUAUUUUUAUAAUCCAAUCGUCUCUAUGGACUAUGAUAUUGGGUUAAUUUUUUCUUUAUGCACUUACGGGUCAUGUGGUAGAGUGUAUUAAAAAAAUAAUGUAUGCAUUAGUCUUAUGUAUUACUAGUAUCUCACUUGAUAGUACAUUUUUUCAAUUUAUGUAUUAUCUAAUGUUGUAUAUGAGAGAAGUGUAUUAUUAAUACCUCAAUAUCUAUGGUAUUAGUAAUGCAAUGAAUUUUAAUGCAAGAAUUAGCAUGAUUAGACACA
rnacentral:lncRNA from 1 species